GAUGAACGCUGGCGGCGUGCCUAAUACAUGCAAGUCGAGCGAACGGACGAGAAGCUUGCUUCUCUGAUGUUAGCGGCGGACGGGUGAGUAACACGUGGAUAACCUACCUAUAAGACUGGGAUAACUUCGGGAAACCGGAGCUAAUACCGGAUAAUAUUUUGAACCGCAUGGUUCAAAAGUGAAAGACGGUCUUGCUGUCACUUAUAGAUGGAUCCGCGCUGCAUUAGCUAGUUGGUAAGGUAACGGCUUACCAAGGCAACGAUGCAUAGCCGACCUGAGAGGGUGAUCGGCCACACGGGAACUGAGACACGGUCCAGACUCCUACGGGAGGCAGCAGUAGGGAAUCUUCCGCAAUGGGCGAAAGCCUAACGGAGCAACGCCGCGUGAGUGAUGAAGGUCUUCGGAUCGUAAAACUCUGUUAUUAGGGAAGAACAUAUGUGUAAGUAACUGUGCACAUCUUGACGGUACCUAAUCAGAAAGCCACGGCUAACUACGUG
rnacentral:rRNA from 1 species